GUGCUUCAGCAGGACAUAUACUAAAAUUGGAAUGACAGAGAUUAGCAUGGCCCCUGCGCAAGGAUGACAUGCAAAAUCAAAACUAAUAGAACUAAAAAUUC
rnacentral:snRNA from 1 species